AAGUCGUAACAAGGUUUCCGUAGGUGAACCUGCGGAAGGAUCAUCAUCGAAUUCAUAUCCCCCUCCUCAACCGGAGGGGGACCCAUGAUAAACCCUUCUGUGCACCGUAAACCGUUCACUUUGGCAGGCUUUGGUGGUGAGCGUGAGCUCGCCUCCAACCUCGCGUUCCCUCCCUAAGGGGUGUUACGCGUGGCGGCCUGCCGGAGUCCCAUUAAAAAACUCGUUUUCGAACACGUCUGAAAAUUUCCUUUGAGAAAUCAAAGAACCGAAAACAACUUUCAACAACGGAUCUCUUGGCUCUC
rnacentral:misc_RNA from 1 species